GCCGCACACCUCACGCACACACACCUUCACUCUCAUUUCUUCUUCUCCCCAAAUCACUCUCUCACGGUUCCUUCAAAACCACCGCACAGCCUCUUCCGGCGGCCGCACGGCCGCUGCCCUCAUCUCCCUCAGAAAUCCGCCGUUGGCGGAAACUCGCCGAAGGAACAACGCCGACAAGCCGCUGCCACCAGCUCCCUCUGAUCUCUCUCUCUCUCAACUGAUCGUUCCUCCCUCUCAACUGUUCUUUCAUCUCUCCUCUGUCUCUCGGCCAUCAGUUCCGCCGCCGCGGCUUCGUCUCCGGCGAAGGGCGUCAUCUCUGGUCACUUCUCCCUUGAAUCCCCCUGUCACUCCCCCUGCUCUCUCUUUCUCCCUUGGCGACGACGAGCGCCGCCGCCUCCCUCGGUCUCUCUCUCUCGGCGACAGCAGCAGCCGGAGCCGCCCGCAGCCUCCUCUCUUCUCUCCCUCCGGCCGACAGCAGUAGAUGGAGCAAACUGCCGCCGCCGUCGUCCUCCGCUCAGCCCUCCACCCAGACCAGCUCCGACCAGCCCACCUCCUUCUCUCCAACCGUGGCCGGGCAGCAGCGGCACAGCCGCCGUGCCCUGCCUCCCUCGACCUCUCGACUCAGUUCACACAAACACAACGCUCAUCCUCCUCGACUCAACAGACCCAACCAGACACUCCAACAUUUGGACUCGGCAAUCAAAAACAGCUCAAGUACUUUUUCUUUAUUCUUUUUAAUAAGUAUGCUUCAUAUAUGUAGAAACACAGAUUGUAUGCUCAUGUAUACGGGAAUGCCAUUUUGUUUCAAAAUCUUGAUACACGAAAUCUGAAUUUGCUAUAUGGGAAAAUUAGUUGCUGGAAAUGCGUAGUGUGU
rnacentral:lncRNA from 1 species